UCAGAAUGGAUGCUGGAACCGAUUUCCGCUUUGACCUCAUUAAAUAGUCAUUGUGCCACUAUAAGGAGAGACCAAGAACGAUGCACUUGAGCUGAAUUAGCAUUUUUCAAGAUCAGGAGCUCUGUGGCUGCUUCUGUCUGAUAGGACAGAAAUUAAUAAUGGACACACUUGAGCAUACUUAAGGAUUCACCUACAGUCAGUGAUCUUUAUGUUUGCGUCUACAUCUUAGGAGCGUGGAGAUCAGUAGCCGACCCAUUUGAGCUGAU